GGGGACACCAGGCUUGCAGUGCAUCCGGUUUAGGGAGUAAACUAUGGAUGUUGCAGUGCACAAAAGAGAGGCCUUUUUUAGUGGGGAGAUUAGGACUAGAAUUAGCUGGGGGACCAGGGUUAGACGCCACAUCAUUUGCAAGGGCAAGUAACAUAAGGAAUAGGAAUUUGGACAUCAUUUUUGUUUGGCCAUAUAGUGAAUGGGAUACUUUAUAAUUUUGUGAGGUGGGGGUAGGAGGGCUAUUUU